GACGAACGUUGGCGGCGUGCUUAAUACAUGCAAGUCAACUGAAGCAGUGGUAGCAAUAUCGCUGUGGAGGUGGCGCACGGGUGAGUAACACGUAGGUAAUCUGCCUUCAGGUCUGGCAUAACUCCGGGAAACCGGGGCUAAUAGCAGAUGAUGCAGCGGCUCGACAUCGAGACAGUUGUUAAAGCUAUGGCGCCUGAAGAUGAGCCUGCGUCUGAUUAGCUAGUUGGCGGGGUAACGGCCCACCAAGGCAACGAUCAGUAGCUGGUCUGAGAGGAUGAUCAGCCACACUGGAACUGAGACACGGUCCAGACUCCUACGGGAGGCAGCAGUAAGGAAUAUUGCUCCAUGGGAGAAAUCCUGAAGCAGCAACGCCGCGUGAGGGACGAAGAGCUUUUGCUUGUAAACCUCUGUAGAGAGAGAAAAAAAUCCCAAUCUUUGGGACAUGAUGGUAUCUCAAAAGUAAGCCCCGGCUAACUACGUG
rnacentral:rRNA from 1 species